UACGUAGGGCGCAAGCGUUAUCCGGAAUUAUUGGGCGUAAAGAGCUCGUAGGCGGUUUGUCGCGUCUGCCGUGAAAGUCCGGGGCUCAACUCCGGAUCUGCGGUGGGUACGGGCAGACUAGAGUGAUGUAGGGGAGACUGGAAUUCCUGGUGUAGGGGUGAAAUUCGUUGAUAUCAGGAGGAACACCGGCGGCGAAGGCGGCCCCCUGGCCCGCAACUGACGCUCAUGGUCGAAAGCGUGGGGAGCAAACAGG
rnacentral:rRNA from 1 species